rnacentral:lncRNA from 1 species
AUAGUUGUUCAUGUUGCCGGUGCAGGAUAACAAUCCCCGAUGCAGGAUAUAACAAUCUCCCGAUGCCGAGAGAAAAGAGAAAAAGAACCGGCCCAGCCAUUGGUCAUUCACAGCCGAAAUUGCUUCCCCACCAAAAAUCAAGAACUUUCAAACCAAACCCAACAGUUACCAGAUGCUCGGCGAGCUCUAAUAUAGAAUCAUACGUACAUACAGUAAAACGUUUUCUUCGUUGAUGCUCAAUUUCGUCACUUUCUCAAGGUACCCUGCACUGCCGCCACCUGCCCAAUGCUCCUCUUUAAUCUCUUCCUUGUACAACCUGCUUCUACACCGAUUUGGGCAAAAACGAUGGUACUGCUGCAAGAACCUCUGCGGAAACCAACACCUAUGCACCUCGUCGACAAUGGUGAAAUCCACCAUUUCANNN